GGGCUUAUAGCUCAGUGGUAGAGCAUACGAUUGCAGAUCGUGUUGUCCCGUGUUCGAACCACGGUGGGCCCU